rnacentral:rRNA from 1 species
AUUGAACGCUGGCGGCAGGCCUAACACAUGCAAGUCGAGCGGCAGCGGGAAAGUAGCUUGCUACUUUUGCCGGCGAGCGGCGGACGGGCGAGUAAUGCCUGGGAAAUUGCCCAGUCGAGGGGGAUAACGGUUGGAAACGACUGCUUAUACCGCAUACGCCCUACGGGGGAAAGGUGGGGACCUUCGGGCCUUGCGCGAUGGGAUAUGCCGAGGUGGGAUUAGCGAGUUGGUGAGGUAAUGGCUCACCAAGGCGACGAUUCCUAGCUGGUCUGAGCGGAUGAUCAGCCACACUGGAACUGAGACACGGUCCAGACUCCUAUGGGAGGCAGCAGUGGGGAAUAUUGCACAAUGGGGGAAACCCUGAUGCAGCCAUGCCGCGUGUGUGAAGAAGGCAUUCGGGUUGUAAAGCACUUUCAGCGAGGAGGAAAGGUCAGUAGCUAAUACCUGCUGGCUGUGACGUUACUCGCAGAAGAAGCACCGGCUAACUCCGUGCCAGCCGCCGCGGUAAUAC